rnacentral:rRNA from 1 species
UACGAACUGUGCGAACGUUAUUCGGAAUCACUGGGCUUAAAGGGUGCGUAGGCGGCGCGGUAAGUCGGGUGUGAAAUCUCGGAGCUUAACUCCGAAACUGCAUUCGAUACUGCCGUGCUUGAGGACUGGAGAGGAGACUGGAAUUUACGGUGUAGCGGUGAAAUGCGUAGAUAUCUGGAGGAAUACCGGUGGCGAAGGCGGCAUCCUGGACCGGCAUUGACGCUGAACAGCGAAAGCUAGGGGAGCAAACGGG